UACAGAGGUCCCAAGCGUUGUUCGGAUUCAUUGGGCGUAAAGGGUGCGUAGGCGGCGCGGUAAGUCGGGUGUGAAAUCUCGGAGCUUAACUCCGAAACUGCAUUCGAUACUGCCGUGCUUGAGGACUGGAGAGGAGACUGGAAUUUACGGUGUAGCGGUGAAAUGCGUAGAUAUCGUAAGGAAGACCAGUGGCGAAGGCGAGUCUCUGGACAGCAACUGACGCUGAGGCACGAAGGCCAGGGGAGCAAACGGG
rnacentral:rRNA from 1 species